UCCGUAGGUGAACCUGCGGAAAGGACAUUA
rnacentral:rRNA from 1 species